rnacentral:rRNA from 1 species
GACGAACGCUGGCGGCGUGCUUAACACAUGCAAGUCGAACGGUGAAGCGCCUUCCUUUUUGGUGGGUGUGGAUGAGUGGCGAACGGGUGAGUAACCCGUGAGUAACCUGCCCCCUUCUUCUGGAUAACCGCAUGAAAGUGUGGCUAAUACGGGAUAUUCUGGGUCUGUCGCAUGAUGGGUCUGGGAAAGAUAUUGUUUCGGUGGGGGAUGGGCUCGCGGCCUAUCAGCUUGUUGGUGGGGUGAUGGCCUACCAAGGCGGUGACGGGUAGCCGGCCUGAGAGGGUGGACGGUCACACUGGGACUGAGACACGGCCCAGACUCCUACGGGAGGCAGCAGUGGGGAAUAUUGCACAAUGGGUGCAAGCCUGAUGCAGCGACGCCGCGUGAGGGAUGGAGGCCUUCGGGUUGUGAACCUCUUUCGCCAGUGAAGCAGGCCUGCCUCGUUUGUGGGUGGGUUGACGGUAGCUGGAUAAGAAGCGCCGGCUAACUACGUG